GGGCCGGUAGAUCAGCUGGUAGAUCGUUUGCUUCGCAAGCAAAAGGCCCCGGGUUCAAAUCCCGGCCGGUCCA
rnacentral:tRNA from 1 species